GUAGAACACGCCUGACUCUCCUCCACCAGUCAUACAAGGAUAAUGGUCUAAUGCCUCUCAUCAAAAAGAGAGCUGGCAAAAGCAAACACAGGUUUAACCUGAAGUAUGAGGACUUGCAGUGAGUAGUGAACUAAGUCAACAACUACUCAGAGGAUAAUGUAUUACCAGAACGCCACCCAGGCCACAAACACUUUGGUGGAUUGCAGCUGCCAUCCCAAGUGACAAAACAGCAGUGUGGUGUCUCUACAAGGAAUCGAUGACAACAAUUGCUAUAAGCUGUUAAGUCAGCCAAGCUGAAGAAGCAAGAGCAGCAUCUCCUGCUUGUUCAGAGUGAGCAGUCUUUCUACGAGAAGAUGGUUGCUGACUGUAAGACCACCUGUCAAGACCUGCAGUUGUCUCUGGGGACCCCUACUAAACCAGCAAGCAAAGACAUUAGGCUUUGAUUUUGUUCAACAACCUGUCUUCCCUUGGCGUCCAUGAAUACAUGCCACUGGAUCUGAAACGGGUGGAGCCUUUGCUUACUUCACCACAGGCCCUGUGGUAAAGAAGACAACGGCUUCACCUCUCAGUGAUCACCUAGGUGACUCAGUGAUCUCUGUCGCAAGGGGCCAAAGAGAAACCUACAUCUACCUCAAGACGAGACAAAACAUUCCUAUGAGGGCUGGUAACUAUUUCCUUUUCAAGUGUACAAGAGGACAUUCUGAAACUGGCAAUGGUUUCAGAAGAGUGGGAUGGAACGCCUAUAUCUCCUUCACUCUGCAGUCCAGGACAGACUUCAUGGUUGUUAUAGAAAGGUUGUAUGACAUCCACAACAGUCAUGAUCCCCAAGACCAACACUGCAGCCAGAUCCACCCAACCUUGAGGAAGGAAAGAGAGCUGGCUGCGUACCUACCUGCAGAGCUGGUUGCGUAUUGGGGGUAACACCGUCAAUGAUUCUGGUACUUGCACAGAAUUGGGCCAAGGCACGUGGGAAGUGACUGGAACACGGGAGAAUACUUUGACACCAGGGGACAUACAAAACAUCAGGAACACCAUGAUGCAAAGACAACAAAUGGCCAGAAAAGAUGCCAUCCAUGUCUCAGAAAAAUCACAGUGGAAACUAUUUCAUGAACAAUAGAUCAACAACAAAAACCUUGCCCUUGUGCUGAUGACAAAAGAAAUUAGGAAAAAUGUCAUGGCCUAUGGUAAGGUUAUGGUCUUAAUGGAUGCCACAAAUGGCCUCACCAACUACGGCUUCCCUCUCUAUUCCAUCCCGCUUAGAGAAGCUCAUGGCCAUGGGGUGCCAGCUGCCUAGAUCAUCGCUCUGUGCAAGAGCAUACUUUUGCUGUUUUCACAGAGCGAUCCACAGGCCAACUUGCA